rnacentral:lncRNA from 1 species
AUCUCAGGUCAGCAGUGUUGGUGGCAAGUGCCUUUUUAUGCUGAGCCAUCUCUCUGGCCCUAUUGAAAGUUUGUUUUGUUUUGUAACAGUGACCUGGUUGUCUUGGACUUACUUUGUCCAAGACGAGACCAGCCUCAAACUUAAAAGAGAUCCACCUGCCUCUCCUCCUGAGUGCUGGGAUUAAAGAUUGUACCCCAUGUCCAGACCAAAAGAUUUUUUUUUCUUUUUAAGAUUUAUUUUAUGUAUAUGAGUACACUGUAGCUGUCUUCAGACACAUCAGAAAAAGGCAUUGGAUCUUGUUAACAGAUCCAAUGCUAGGAGUUGAACUCAGGACCUCUGGAAGAACAGUCAGUGCUCUUAACCACUGAGCAUUCUCUCCAACCCUCGUGUGUGUGUGUGUGUGUGUGUGUGUGUGUGUGUGUGUGUGUGUGUGUGUGUGUGUGAAUUGCUUAUUUUAUGUAUGUGACCACACUAGCUGUUUUCACACACUAGAAGAAGGUGUUAGGUCCCAUUACAGAUGGUUGUGAGCCACCAUGUGGUUGCUGGGAAUUGAACUCAGGACCUCUGGAAGAACAGUCAAUGCUCUUAACCACUAAGCCAUCUCUCCAGCCUCCCCGCAAAGAUUUUUUUUUAAGGACCUAUGUCACCAUUUUAAAUGUUAGCUUACAAGAUUUUAAAGUACUACAAUUAUAUUGAAAUUAAUUCUGUGGAUAUCUGGUCUUUGGGGUAGAAAUUUUUUUAAGUGCCUGCAGAGUACUUGACAGUGCUAGGAGAAGGGGUCCUGAGAAAUCUGUCACAUUGUCUCUUCCUUUCGUCCUUUUAUUUUAUGGAUGUAAGCACACUGUUGUUGUCUUCAGACACAGCAGAAGAGGGCAUCAGAUCCCAUUACAGAUGGUUGUGAGCCACCAUGUGGGUGCUGGGACCUCUGGGAGAUCAUUCAGUGCUCUUAACCACUGAGCCAUCCCUCCAACCCCCCCCAUAUUUUUUUUCUUCAGGAAGUUUCUAUAGAAGCUUUUUUGUAUUACUUACGUUAACUGUGAGAUGCACUGGGAAAUGCUUUUUUUUCUGAUACAGUUUUACUCUUUACUAUUUUCAGCCAGUAAAAAAGAAGAAAAUUAAGCGUGAAAUAAAGAUUUUGGAGAAUUUGAGAGGUGGGCCCAACAUCAUCACACUUGCAGACAUUGUAAAAGACCCUGUGGUAAGUACAGUGAUGUUGGUAAGACCCAUCAGGGCUUCAGUGCUGAAAGCACAACUGACUUGGUUCUGUUGUCAUCAUUUAAUGCUUUAAAUGUUCUAAAUCAGUUACACAUUUAACCAGCUUAGGCUCUGCUUUGAAAGAUUCAGUACAAACAUGCACACACACUCAUACAUGCACAAAAUCUGUUAUUCCCAGAAGAUUGAUAACACUAAAAUUAAAAUCUACGUGUUAAUCCAAUUUACAGGCCAAAGCCAAGUGCCAGUGGGCAAUAGGUAUAUGGUUGGGCCACCUGGAGCCUUGUGAGAGUUCAGCUGAGUUUUUCUUCAAAAUCCUUCCAAAAAAUCAGAGUGGGCAAGGUUUCUUAGUACUGCAACAAGGACUGUCAUAUUCCUUACACAACACCCACAAGCUGAAAACUAAAACUGCUGGUACUAAUGUGUUUUCUUUUUUUUCUCCCUUAGUCACGAACCCCUGCCUUGGUUUUUGAACAUGUAAACAACACAGACUUCAAGGUAUCAUCCAUAAUCAUUUAAAACUACUGGACUUUUAGAUGACAUAGUCUUUGGGGAUGCCAGUAUAAAAAGUUCGUUUAUUAGUGCCAAAAUAAUACCUGCUUUCCAUGUCUGGAUAUUUUUACAUUCAUUUUGUUGAGUGCUCUUGGAAUAACUAAAACAUUUAUAUCUUACCACAUUUAUCAUUCAUUUGACAGUUUCUGCUGGUAUCCAUAAUAGUGAAGGUGACAGUACAUGUUGACUUUAGGCAACCAUGUACAAGAAAGAAUAAUAUUUAUAAUUGUAUAACUAAUAAUAGUUAUACAAUACAAAGAAUAGCAUAUUCCUUAAGAUCCUCUAGGAUAUGGAUCACAACAGAUAAUGAGAAAAGGUCACGUAAGAUUCUGCUAUAACACAAACAUGUACAGUACAGAUCUUUGAAUGCAGACCCUCAUGUGGCCUACAGAUUUGAACAGCUCUCUAUUCUGGUGUAACUGAAGAACAGAGGCGCUUUCCUUGGUACACAUUUAUAGUGUUUGACAUGUAGAAGUGAAGACUCGAAGAGUCUCUUGAAAGUAAAUUUUUGGUCAAGAAGUAGAGAGUGUUUGAAAAACAAAUCUUGGGAUUGUGGUCAAUGAAAUAGGGUGAGGAAAUUUUCAUCUUAGCGUUGUUUUAUAGCUCAACUAUUGCAUUUGUCUUUAACAGCAAUUGUACCAGACGUUAACAGACUAUGACAUUCGAUUUUACAUGUAUGAAAUUCUGAAAGUGAGUAAUAUAUGUAUUAAAUAUUUUUAAAUUGAUCUUUGCUUUAGAAGUUUAUUUAAUGGUAGAGAAACCCAGGGGAUUAACUUUGUAAUAUGUGCCGAAAGCAGAGGGCUUCAAAAAUAGUUUUUAAAUGUUUUUAGUAUUAUACUCUUGGGUAAAGUCUCAGUUAUGAAGUGGGGUGCAAUAGAACUGUAAUUAAAACAUGUAAGUGUUGUGUGACAGGGCCCUACUCUGAAACAAGGCUGGCCUACGACUCACAAGUCAUUCUCGUCCAGGGAGGCCUAUCUUGUUAGUUUUUCUUUCCCAACAUCUUACAUUUUGGGACUCAAGAGUUAUGACCCAUCACACCCAGCUUUAGAAUGCCUUGGUUUUGGUUACAGUUUUUAUUCUGUGAUGCAUGCCAAACAGAUACUUCAGCAGUUACCUGUAUCCCCAGCCCUAGAAUGCCUUAAAGAAAACAGUGAAAAUGACAGUGUGAAAACAGCCUUUCCUUAGGCACUGGAGGCUGAUACACUUUAUUUUACUUAGUAUUCAACAGAUGACACUGGCCUGGAGGUAUAAGACUUACUGUAAUCCCAGUAUGAGGACUGCCACAUGUUCAAGACCAUCCUGGGCUACAGUGUUUGUCAUGAAACAAACAAAUGUGUUUUUAAAAAGAUUCUUAUUCAUACCUUUAAUCCCAGUACUUAAGAGGCAGAGACAGACCAGCUUGGUCCCAAGGCAAGUUCUAGGACAGCCAUGGCUACACAGAGAAACUCUGUCUCAAGAAAAGU